AUUGAACGCUGGCGGCAUGCCUUACACAUGCAAGUCGAACGGCAGCACGGGAGCUUGCUCCUGGUGGCGAGUGGCGAACGGGUGAGUAAUACAUCGGAACGUACCCAGUAGUGGGGGAUAACGCACCGAAAGGUGCGCUAAUACCGCAUACGACCUACGGGUGAAAGCGGGGGACCGUAAGGCCUCGCGCUAUUGGAGCGGCCGAUGUCUGAUUAGCUAGUUGGCGGGGUAAUAGCCCACCAAGGCGACGAUCAGUAGCUGGUCUGAGAGGACGAUCAGCCACACUGGGACUGAGACACGGCCCAGACUCCUACGGGAGGCAGCAGUGGGGAAUUUUGGACAAUGGGGGCAACCCUGAUCCAGUAAUGCCGCGUGUGCGAAGAAGGCCUUCGGGUUGUAAAGCACUUUUGUCAGGGAAGAAAUCUUUCAGGCUAAUACCCUUGGAAGGAUGACGGUACCUGAAGGAUAAGCACCGGCUAACUACGUGCCAGCCGCCGCAGUAA
rnacentral:rRNA from 1 species